UCAUCAUGUUUCCUUUUUCAGGAAAUUUAGCUUAUUUUUUGAGGUCACCUAAUCUUCUACAACCUUGGCAAUGGCGGCUGCCUCUUCUUGGUUCAGAGGUGAUCGUUGUUGUGAUGAAGCUGCAGAGGUGGCAUAGGUUGAGGGAACUUGGUAAGCUCAAGGGACACGUCGAAGUUGGUUUGUCAACUAGAAGGCGCUCGACAUCGAGACUGUCCAGCAGUUUGUACACGGUGGGAUGAUAUGGGCUUACAUGACUGCCUCUUCAGCUACAACUA